UACGGAGGGGGUUAGCGUUGUUCGGAAUUACUGGGCGUAAAGCGUGCGUAGGCGGAUUGUUAAGCGAGAUGUGAAAUCCCUCGGCUCAACCGAGGAAUUGCGCUUCAAACCACUAGGCUUGAGGGAGGCAGAGGUGAGUGGAACUGAUGGUGGAGCGGUGAAAUGCGUUGAUAUCAUCAGGAACACCAGUGGCGAAGGCGACUCACUGGGCCUCUUCUGACGCUGAGGAACGAAAGCUAGGGGAGCGAACGGG
rnacentral:rRNA from 1 species